AUACGAAAGGUGCGAGCGUUGUUCGGAUUUACUGGGCGUAAAGCGAGUGUAGGUGGUUUGUUAAGUCGGAUGUGAAAUCCCGGGGCUCAACCUCGGAACUGCAUUCGAUACUGGCAGGCUAGAGUUCGGGAGGGGUAAGCGGAAUUCCGUGUGUAGCAGUGAAAUGCGUAGAUAUACGGAGGAACACCUGAGGCGAAGGCGGCUUACUGGACCGAUACUGACACUGAGACUCGAAAGCGUGGGUAGCAAACAGGAUUAGAAACCCUAGUAGUCC
rnacentral:rRNA from 1 species